UACGGAGGAGGCAAGCGUUGUCCGGAAUGAUUGGGCGUAAAGCGUCCGCAGGGGGCACUUCAAGUCUGCUGUUAAAUACUAGGGCUCAACCCUGGAGCGGCAGUGGAAACUGAAGAGCUAGAGUUCGGGAGGGGUAGACGGAAUUCCCAGUGUAGCGGUGAAAUGCGUAGAUAUUGGGAAGAACACCGGUGGCGAAGGCGCUCUGCUAGGCCGAAACUGACACUCAUGGACGAAAGCUAGGGGAGCGAAUGGG
rnacentral:rRNA from 1 species